UCGGCGGGAGCCCCGGGAACCAAAGUUUUGAGUUCCGGGGAAGUAUGGUUGCAAAGCUGAAACUUAAAGGAAUGACGGAAGGCACCACCAGGAGUGGAGCCUGCGGCUAAAUUGACUCAGCACGGGGAACCUCACCAGGCCCAGACACCGGAAGGAUUGACAGAUUGAGAGCUCUUUCUCGAUUCGGUGGGUGGUGGUGCAUGGCCGUUCUUAGUUGGUGGAGCGAUCUGUCUGGUUGAUUCCGAUAACGAACGAGACUCUAGCCUGCUAACUAGUCGGCGGAUCGUCUCCCGAGACGGGUUUCCUUCCGCGGGGGCUUAGGGCGAGGGUAGCUCACGGGGGGCUCGUCGUUUCUCUCGUUCUCGGCAACGCGGGGUAGGUCGAAGGUAGAUGACGGAAAAGACGAGGAGGGUGGCGAGAGUCGUUGGCGGUCGGUU
rnacentral:rRNA from 1 species